rnacentral:rRNA from 1 species
GUGAGGAAUAUUGCGCAAUGGAGGCAACUCUGACGCAGCCAUGCCGCGUGCAGGAAGAAGGCGCUACGCGUUGUAAACUGCUUUUAACCGGGAAGAAACCCCAGGACGUGUCCUGGGUUGACGGUACCGGAGGAAUAAGCACCGGCUAACUUCGUGCCAGCAGCCGCGGUAAUACGAAGGGUGCAAGCGUUAUCCGGAUUCAUUGGGGUUAAAGGGUGCGUAGGCGGAGCGUUAAGUCAGUGGUGAAAUCCUGCAGCUUAACUGUAGACUUGCCAUUGAUACUGGCGCUCUUGAGUGCGCUUGAAGUGGGCGGAAUGUGCCGUGUAGCGGUGAAAUGCUUAGAUAUGGCACAGAACACCAAUUGCGAAGGCAGCUCACUAAGGCGAUACUGACGCUGAGGCACGAAAGCGUGGGGAUCGAACAGGAUUAGAAACCCCGGUAGUCC